GCGCGAAAACUUUACAAUGCUGGCAACAGCGAUAAGGGAACCUCGAGUGCCAGGUUACAAAUCUGGCUGUCGAGAUGCCUAAAAAGCAUUUCAUAGCAAGGGCCGGGCAAGACCGGUGCCAGCCGCCGCGGUAACACCGGCGGCUCGAGUGGUAACCGUUAUUAUUGGGUCUAAAGGGUCUGUAGCCGGCCGGAUAAGUCUCUUGGGAAAUCUGGCAGCUCAACUGUCAGGCUAUCAGGAGAUACUGCCUGGCUCGAGGCCGGGAGAGGUGAGAGGUACUUCAGGGGUAGGGGUGAAGUCUUGUAAUCCUUGAAGGACCACCAGUGGCGAAGGCGUCUCACCAGAACGGACCUGACGGCAAGGGACGAAAGCUAGGGGCACGAACCG
rnacentral:rRNA from 1 species